UACGUAGGGUGCAGGCGUUAAUCGGAAUUACUGGGCGUAAAGCGUGCGCAGGCGGUUUGCUAAGACAGGUGUGAAAUCCCCGGGCUUAACCUGGGAACUGCAUUGGUGACUGGCAGGCUUUGAGUGUGGCAGAGGGAGGUAGAAUUCCACGUGUAGCAGUGAAAUGCGUAGAGAUGUGGAGGAAUACCGAUGGCGAAGGCAGCCUCCUGGGCCAACACUGACGCUCAUGCACGAAAGCGUGGGGAGCAAACAGG
rnacentral:rRNA from 1 species